rnacentral:rRNA from 1 species
CCUACGGGGGGCAGCAGUGAGGAAUAUUGGUCAAUGGGCGCGAGCCUGAACCAGCCAAGUAGCGUGAAGGAUGACUGCCCUACGGGUUGUAAACUUCUUUUGUCAAGGAGUAAGGUGAGGCACGUGUGCCUUUUUGUAGGUACUUUAUGAAUAAGGAUCGGCUAACUCCGUGCCAGCAGCCGCGGUAAUACGGAGGAUCCGAGCGUUAUCCGGAUUUAUUGGGGUUAAAGGGAGCGUAGAUGGGUUGUUAAGUCAGUUGUGAAAGUUUGCGGCUCAACCGUAAAAGUGCAAUUGAUACUGGCAGCCUUGAGUACAGUUGAGGUAGGCGGAAUUCGUGGUGUAGCGGUGAAAUGCUUAGAUAUCACGAAGAACGCCGAUUGCGAAGGUAGCUUACUAACCUGCCACUGACAUUGAUGCUCGAAAGUGUGGGUAUCAAACAGGAUUAGAUACCCGAGUAGUC